GACGAACGCUGGCGGCGUGCUUAACACAUGCAAGUCGAACGGUAAGGCCCUUCGGGGUACACGAGUGGCGAACGGGUGAGUAACACGUGGGUGAUCUGCCCUGCACUCCGGGAUAAGCCUGGGAAACUGGGUCUGAUACCGGAUAGGACCCUGGGAUGCAUGUCCUGGGGUGGAAAGCUUUUGCGGUGUGGGAUGGGCCCGCGGCCUAUCAGCUUGUUGGUGGGGUGAUGGCCUACCAAGGCGACGACCGGUAGCCGGCCUGAGAGGGUGACCGGCCACCCUGGGACUGAGAUACGGCCCAGACUCCUACGGGAGGCAGCAGUGGGGAAUAUUGCGCAAUGGGCGCAAGCCUGAUGCAGCGACGCCGCGUGAGGGAUGACGGCCUUCGGGUUGUAAACCUCUUUCAGCACCGACGAAGCGCAAGUGACGGUAGGUGCAGAAGAAGGACCGGCCAACUACGUGCCAGCCGCCGCGGUAA
rnacentral:rRNA from 1 species